rnacentral:rRNA from 1 species
AUCUAACCUGCUCUAUGAAUUAUAAAUGGCUGCAGUAGUCUGACUGUACUAAGGUAGCAUAAUCAUUAGUUCUUUAAUUGGGGACUGGAAUGAAGGGUUUUUACCUCCCAGAGAGUUUUAUGGGAAUGUUUUGAAUUUAGAUUAGAAGUAAAAAUGCUUCUAUAAAUCCCUGGGACGAGAAGACCCUAGAAGCUUGGAAUUUUAUGAUUUUUGGUUGGGGCGGCUAAAGAAGAUAAGGAUCUUUUGGUUAAAAAUUAGGAGAAGUUAAGUUACUCUAGGGAUAACAGCAUUAUCUGAUUUGGGAGUUCUUAUUUUGAAUUAGGUUUGUGACCUCGAUGUUGAAUUAAAUGGAAGUUGGGUGUAGGAGCUUAAUUGAGUAGUC